GGGUUGUGAGGUUAAGCGACUAAGCGUACACGGUGGAUGCCCUGGCAGUCAGAGGCGAUGAAGGACGUGCUAAUCUGCGAUAAGCGUCGGUAAGGUGAUAUGAACCGUUAUAACCGGCGAUUUCCGAAUGGGGAAACCCAGUGUGUUUCGACACACUAUCAUUAACUGAAUCCAUAGGUUAAUGAGGCGAACCGGGGGAACUGAAACAUCUAAGUACCCCGAGGAAAAGAAAUCAACCGAGAUUCCCCCAGUAGCGGCGAGCGAACGGGGAGCAGCCCAGAGCCUGAAUCAGUGUGUGUGUUAGUGGAAGCGUCUGGAAAGGCGUGCGAUACAGGGUGACAGCCCCGUACACAAAAAUGCACAUGCUGUGAGCUCGAUGAGUAGGGCGGGACACGUGGUAUCCUGUCUGAAUAUGGGGGGACCAUCCUCCAAGGCUAAAUACUCCUGACUGACCGAUAGUGAACCAGUACCGUGAGGGAAAGGCGAAAAGAACCCCGGCGAGGGGAGUGAAAAAGAACCUGAAACCGUGUACGUACAAGCAGUGGGAGCACGCUUAGGCGUGUGACUGCGUACCUUUUGUAUAAUGGGUCAGCGACUUAUAUUCUGUAGCAAGGUUAACCGAAUAGGGGAGCCGAAGGGAAACCGAGUCUUAACUGGGCGUUAAGUUGCAGGGUAUAGACCCGAAACCCGGUGAUCUAGCCAUGGGCAGGUUGAAGGUUGGGUAACACUAACUGGAGGACCGAACCGACUAAUGUUGAAAAAUUAGCGGAUGACUUGUGGCUGGGGGUGAAAGGCCAAUCAAACCGGGAGAUAGCUGGUUCUCCCCGAAAGCUAUUUAGGUAGCGCCUCGUGAAUUCAUCUCCGGGGGUAGAGCACUGUUUCGGCAAGGGGGUCAUCCCGACUUACCAACCCGAUGCAAACUGCGAAUACCGGAGAAUGUUAUCACGGGAGACACACGGCGGGUGCUAACGUCCGUCGUGAAGAGGGAAACAACCCAGACCGCCAGCUAAGGUCCCAAAGUCAUGGUUAAGUGGGAAACGAUGUGGGAAGGCCCAGACAGCCAGGAUGUUGGCUUAGAAGCAGCCAUCAUUUAAAGAAAGCGUAAUAGCUCACUGGUCGAGUCGGCCUGCGCGGAAGAUGUAACGGGGCUAAACCAUGCACCGAAGCUGCGGCAGCGACGCUUAUGCGUUGUUGGGUAGGGGAGCGUUCUGUAAGCCUGCGAAGGUGUGCUGUGAGGCAUGCUGGAGGUAUCAGAAGUGCGAAUGCUGACAUAAGUAACGAUAAAGCGGGUGAAAAGCCCGCUCGCCGGAAGACCAAGGGUUCCUGUCCAACGUUAAUCGGGGCAGGGUGAGUCGACCCCUAAGGCGAGGCCGAAAGGCGUAGUCGAUGGGAAACAGGUUAAUAUUCCUGUACUUGGUGUUACUGCGAAGGGGGGACGGAGAAGGCUAUGUUGGCCGGGCGACGGUUGUCCCGGUUUAAGCGUGUAGGCUGGUUUUCCAGGCAAAUCCGGAAAAUCAAGGCUGAGGCGUGAUGACGAGGCACUACGGUGCUGAAGCAACAAAUGCCCUGCUUCCAGGAAAAGCCUCUAAGCAUCAGGUAACAUCAAAUCGUACCCCAAACCGACACAGGUGGUCAGGUAGAGAAUACCAAGGCGCUUGAGAGAACUCGGGUGAAGGAACUAGGCAAAAUGGUGCCGUAACUUCGGGAGAAGGCACGCUGAUAUGUAGGUGAAGUCCCUCGCGGAUGGAGCUGAAAUCAGUCGAAGAUACCAGCUGGCUGCAACUGUUUAUUAAAAACACAGCACUGUGCAAACACGAAAGUGGACGUAUACGGUGUGACGCCUGCCCGGUGCCGGAAGGUUAAUUGAUGGGGUUAGCCGCAAGGCGAAGCUCUUGAUCGAAGCCCCGGUAAACGGCGGCCGUAACUAUAACGGUCCUAAGGUAGCGAAAUUCCUUGUCGGGUAAGUUCCGACCUGCACGAAUGGCGUAAUGAUGGCCAGGCUGUCUCCACCCGAGACUCAGUGAAAUUGAACUCGCUGUGAAGAUGCAGUGUACCCGCGGCAAGACGGAAAGACCCCGUGAACCUUUACUAUAGCUUGACACUGAACAUUGAGCCUUGAUGUGUAGGAUAGGUGGGAGGCUUUGAAGUGUGGACGCCAGUCUGCAUGGAGCCGACCUUGAAAUACCACCCUUUAAUGUUUGAUGUUCUAACGUUGACCCGUAAUCCGGGUUGCGGACAGUGUCUGGUGGGUAGUUUGACUGGGGCGGUCUCCUCCUAAAGAGUAACGGAGGAGCACGAAGGUUGGCUAAUCCUGGUCGGACAUCAGGAGGUUAGUGCAAUGGCAUAAGCCAGCUUGACUGCGAGCGUGACGGCGCGAGCAGGUGCGAAAGCAGGUCAUAGUGAUCCGGUGGUUCUGAAUGGAAGGGCCAUCGCUCAACGGAUAAAAGGUACUCCGGGGAUAACAGGCUGAUACCGCCCAAGAGUUCAUAUCGACGGCGGUGUUUGGCACCUCGAUGUCGGCUCAUCACAUCCUGGGGCUGAAGUAGGUCCCAAGGGUAUGGCUGUUCGCCAUUUAAAGUGGUACGCGAGCUGGGUUUAGAACGUCGUGAGACAGUUCGGUCCCUAUCUGCCGUGGGCGCUGGAGAACUGAGGGGGGCUGCUCCUAGUACGAGAGGACCGGAGUGGACGCAUCACUGGUGUUCGGGUUGUCAUGCCAAUGGCACUGCCCGGUAGCUAAAUGCGGAAGAGAUAAGUGCUGAAAGCAUCUAAGCACGAAACUUGCCCCGAGAUGAGUUCUCCCUGAC
rnacentral:rRNA from 1 species